rnacentral:rRNA from 1 species
GAUGAACGCUAGCGGCAGGCCUAAUACAUGCAAGUCAAGGGGAUAGCAAUAUCACCGGCGGACGGGUGCGUAACGCGUACACAACGUGCCCAAGGGCGGAGGAAAGCGGCGGGAAACUGCCGGUAAUACUCCAUGGUGUUGUUGAGUGGCAUCACUUAACAACUAAAGUACAAGCGCCCUUGGAUCGGUGUGCGUUCGAUUAGCUAGUUGGCGGGGUAACGGCCCACCAAGGCUUCGAUCGAUAGGGGGUGUGAGGGCAUGACCCCCCACACGGGUACUGAGACACGGACCCGACUCCUACGGGAGGCAGCAGUAAGGAAUAUUGGACAAUGGGCGGAAGCCUGAUCCAGCCAUGCCGCGUGAAGGACGAAGGCGCUCAGCGUUGUAAACUUCUUUUGGAUGGGAACAAUAACUCCGACUUGUCGGAACUUGAGGGUACCAUCAGAAUAAGCACCGGCUAACUCCGUG